rnacentral:rRNA from 1 species
GAGUUUGAUCAUGGCUCAGAGCGAACGCUGGCGGCGUGCCUAACACAUGCAAGUCGAACGCGAACGAUCUCUUCGGAGAUUUAUUAGAGUGGCAAACGGGUGAGUAACGCGUGGAUAAUCUACCUUCGAGUGGGGGAAUAACUCCGGGAAACCGGGGCUAAUACCGCAUGACACUCCGAUAUCUUAAGAUAACGGGGUCAAAGGGGCUUCGGCUCUCGCUUGAAGAUGAGUCCGCGUCCUAUCAGCUUGUUGGUGAGGUAAUGGCUCACCAAGGCUUCGACGGGUAGCCGGCCUGAGAGGGUGGUCGGCCACACUGGGACUGAGACACGGCCCACGACUCCUACGGGAGGCAGCAGUGGGGAA